UACCUCAGAUGUCAAAGGAUGUUUUUUACUCUCAAUUUUGAGGAUUUUUCAGAUAAUCUUGGUAUCAGAUGACUGAGAGAAACUAAAUAACAGUACCAGACAUGGUACGCUAAUAGCUGAUAGUGAGUAGCCGGGUUCUUCUUCCACACUUGGACAUAUCCUUACUUAAAUAUGAAAUUUAGUAGACUAUCAUGUUUACUUGCAGAAACAACUCUGACAGUUUCGUAAUUGUCCUUCAGAUUUCCAGAGGAGUUCAAUAGGGAGCCAUAUUAUGUGCUGUCAAUGGGUUCCUUCUUUGCAUCAUAACAGUUCUGUCCAUCUACAUGCCUUUUUUUCGUUGGCUUCUCGGAAAGUGAGGAAGCAUCAGUUGUGUCCAGGGCAAUGUUCUUCUUCUUUAGCCCCUCCUCCUUCACCGCCAUAGCUACUGCAUCGUCAUGCUCUCUCUUGAGACACUUCAAAACUGACUAGACCAGCUGUGCAGUGUAAGCGGCUCUGGAUGCGGCAGACAUGCCUGGCUUCUGAUGGUGGAAGGAAAACCAACCAGGUGAAUCAUAAAUGCUUUCAGAUCGACAAGCAGACUUUGGUAUUGCAAAAAGGGCCUCCCAACAAUGGAUGCAAAGAAGAUUCUGGUUCAGAUAAAUCUUCGGUACUCGUAUUGCACCCUGCAACUAUUGCACAUGUUGGUAUUUUACAGUCCCAAAAUUAAAUCGAGCAAAUUAAACACAAAGAACACAAAGAUUUUUCGCCCGAAGACCCAGAUGUUCACCCAAGAAUGGGCUACUCACCAUGUUGUGCAUCCACCUAAGUGGUUAACACUAUAAUCCAUUAGAAUCCAACUAAAUGUGUGGAAAUACAAGAAUCAGAGACUCAAGAAUCACUCGACUCAAAGCCCUCAGACUCAACUCUCACUUUUUCUCUUGUUUACAGAUUACACCAAGUAAUCAAGAGUUACAGUUCACCCAAGAACAAUAAAACUCUAACCAUCACGUAAUCUACAUUGGACAUCACCAAGAAUACCAGAAAACUCAAGAUUACAAAUGAAAACCAAUGGUUUUGAGGGAGAGAAAUCACAAAGACGAAUAGAGAUUGAAACCCUAGAAUAAUUGCGAACCCAAUAAUGAGAGAAACUUGAAUAUAA
rnacentral:lncRNA from 1 species